UAAUAAGUAAGAUUUUGCUUUCAGGUUUUGGUUAUACAAGUAUGCAUCUUGGUGCCCAUGAGUUGUUUAUGGAUCUAAAUUUCAAGCAAUGAAGAAGAAGAUGCUCCAAGUUUACAUCAUCUGCUCUUUCAGAUCCAUAUUUCAAUAACUUAGCUAAUGAAGAGAGAGAACCUUCUGCACAGCCAGUUUGAAAGUUGGAAUUUGAAUUUGAAAGGAGGAAGAUAACAAAGAUUAGACUCAGAAUUUGGACGGAGAGGCACCAAUGUUGAUAAUUAUAUUUGCAGAUGGUCAACAUGUUAAUUAUAUAUAUCUUUUCUUUUGAUCAUUCAUUGAUCAAAGGCUACCUUUAAGAUAUAUAUCUUUGAUCACAUAGCACAAGCCUUCUGGCUUCUUGUGUUAGAUAUAUAUGUUUGGCUAGUUAGUUUUGAUGAAAAUUCCAACAUAUAUCUGUGUAUGCUCUUAAAAGUGAA